UGGUAUUGAUUGGUGCUUGCAUCAUGAUUUACAUUUGAGUGAGUGGCGAACUGGUGAGUAACACGUGGGAAACCUGCCCAGAAGCGGGGGAUAACACCUGGAAACAGAUGCUAAUACCGCAUAACAACUUGGACCGCAUGGUCCGAGCUUGAAAGAUGGCUUCGGCUAUCACUUUUGGAUGGUCCCGCGGCGUAUUAGCUAGAUGGUGGGGUAACGGCUCACCAUGGCAAUGAUACGUAGCCGACCUGAGAGGGUAAUCGGCCACAUUGGGACUGAGACACGGCCCAAACUCCUACGGGAGGCAGCAGUAGGGAAUCUUCCACAAUGGACGAAAGUCUGAUGGAGCAACGCCGCGUGAGUGAAGAAGGGUUUCGGCUCGUAAAACUCUGUUGUUAAAGAAGAACAUAUCUGAGAGUAACUGUUCAGGUAUUGACGGUAUUUAACCAGAAAGCCACGGCUAACUACGUGCCAGCAGCCGCGGUAAUACGUAGGUGGCAAGCGUUGUCCGGAUUUAUUGGGCGUAAAGCGAGCGCAGGCGGUUUUUUAAGUCUGAUGUGAAAGCCUUCGGCUCAACCGAAGAAGUGCAUCGGAAACUGGGAAACUUGAGUGCAGAAGAGGACAGUGGAACUCCAUGUGUAGCGGUGAAAUGCGUAGAUAUAUGGAAGAACACCAGUGGCGAAGGCGGCUGUCUGGUCUGUAACUGACGCUGAGGCUCGAAAGUAUGGGUAGCAAACAGGAUUAGAUACCCUGGUAGUCCAUACCGUAAACGAUGAAUGCUAAGUGUUGGAGGGUUUCCGCCCUUCAGUGCUGCAGCUAACGCAUUAAGCAUUCCGCCUGGGGAGUACGGCCGCAAGGCUGAAACUCAAAGGAAUUGACGGGGGCCCGCACAAGCGGUGGAGCAUGUGGUUUAAUUCGAAGCUACGCGAAGAACCUUACCAGGUCUUGACAUACUAUGCAAAUCUAAGAGAUUAGACGUUCCCUUCGGGGACAUGGAUACAGGUGGUGCAUGGUUGUCGUCAGCUCGUGUCGUGAGAUGUUGGGUUAAGUCCCGCAACGAGCGCAACCCUUAUUAUCAGUUGCCAGCAUUAAGUUGGGCACUCUGGUGAGACUGCCGGUGACAAACCGGAGGAAGGUGGGGAUGACGUCAAAUCAUCAUGCCCCUUAUGACCUGGGCUACACACGUGCUACAAUGGAUGGUACAACGAGUUGCGAACUCGCGAGAGUAAGCUAAUCUCUUAAAGCCAUUCUCAGUUCGGAUUGUAGGCUGCAACUCGCCUACAUGAAGUCGGAAUCGCUAGUAAUCGCGGAUCAGCAUGCCGCGGUGAAUACGUUCCCGGGCCUUGUACACACCGCCCGUCACACCAUGAGAGUUUGUAACACCCAA
rnacentral:rRNA from 3 species